AGUCUAGUGUGGCUGGAGGGAAGUGAGUGAGGGGAAGAGAGGUAGAAGAUGAGGUUAGAGAGCUCAGAGGGUUUGUGAUACCAGAUCUGGCUUCUUUGGAUCAAGAGCCAAACAAACACGCCAUGCAAGAAGGCCCUCACCAGAU